AGAGUUUGAUCCUGGCUCAGAGCAAACGCUGGCGGCGUGCCUAAUACAUGCAAGUCGAACGGGGAAGUAUCUUCGGAUAUUGUACUAGUGGCGUACGGGUGAGUAACACGUGGAUAAUCUUCCUUCAGAUGGGGAAUAACCAAUCGAAAGAUUGGCUAAUACCGCAUAAGACCACAAUCUCUUCGGAGAAAGGGGUUAAA
rnacentral:rRNA from 1 species